GACAGAGGGUGCGAACGUUGCUCGGAAUUACUGGGCGUAAAGCGCGUGUAGGCGGAUCUGCAAGUCGGGUGUGAAAUCCCUGGGCUCAACCCAGGAACUGCAUCCGAAACUGCGGAUCUAGAGUAGUGGAGAGGGAUGGCGGAAUUCCGGGUGUAGAGGUGAAAUUCGUAGAUAUCCGGAGGAACAUCAGUGGCGAAGGCGGCCUCCUGGACACUUACUGACGCUGAGACGCGAAAGCGUGGGGAGCAAACAGG
rnacentral:rRNA from 1 species